rnacentral:lncRNA from 10 species
AUAGAGCUACUGAGGCUAACGGCAGUGAGGAUGAUGAUUCGACAUUCUUAAUAUUUGAAAUCCGGUUAUGGAGUCCUACCCUGUAAUCACCAAAGGGAUAUGAUGAUAAGGAAAAUACUGAACUACUGAGGAGAUGUCAUCUUGGAUUAGAAAAGAGAGAGAGAGCCACAACUUGGAUUGACAGAGUAUGGAGCCUGAAGGAGCCCAGGUCCCUGAGAC